GUCGCGUCUGUCGUGAAAGUCCGGGGCUUAACCCCGGAUCUGCGGUGGGUACGGGCAGACUAGAGUGCAGUAGGGGAGACUGGAAUUCCUGGUGUAGCGGUGGAAUGCGCAGAUAUCAGGAGGAACACCGAUGGCGAAGGCAGGUCUCUGGGCUGUAACUGACGCUGAGGAGCGAAAGCAUGGGGAGCGAACAGGAUUAGAUACCCUGGUAGUCCAUGCCGUAAACGUUGGGCACUAGGUGUGGGGACCAUUCCACGGUUUCCGCGCCGCAGCUAACGCAUUAAGUGCCCCGCCUGGGGAGUACGGCCGCAAGGCUAAAACUCAAAGGAAUUGACGGGGGCCCGCACAAGCGGCGGAGCAUGCGGAUUAAUUCGAUGCAACGCGAAGAACCUUACCAAGGCUUGACAUGUUCCCGAUCGCCGUAGAGAUACGGUUUCCCCUUUGGGGCGGGUUCACAGGUGGUGCAUGGUUGUCGUCAGCUCGUGUCGUGAGAUGUUGGGUUAAGUCCCGCAACGAGCGCAACCCUCGUUCCAUGUUGCCAGCACGU
rnacentral:rRNA from 1 species